GAUGAACGCUGGCGGCGUGCCUAAUACAUGCAAGUCGAGCGAACAGACGAGGAGCUUGCUCCUUUGACGUUAGCGGCGGACGGGUGAGUAACACGUGGGUAACCUACCUAUAAGACUGGGAUAACUUCGGGAAACCGGAGCUAAUACCGGAUAAUAUUUCGAACCGCAUGGUUCGAUAGUGAAAGAUGGCUUUGCUAUCACUUAUAGAUGGACCUGCGCCGUAUUAGCUAGUUGGUAAGGUGACGGCUUACCAAGGCAACGAUACGUAGCCGACCUGAGAGGGUGAUCGGCCACACUGGAACUGAGACACGGUCCAGACUCCUACGGGAGGCAGCAGUAGGGAAUCUUCCGCAAUGGGCGAAAGCCUGACGGAGCAACGCCGCGUGAGUGAUGAAGGUCUUCGGAUCGUAAAACUCUGUUAUUAGGGAAGAACAAACGUGUAAGUAACUGUGCACGUCUUGACGGUACCUAAUCAGAAAGCCACGGCUAACUACGUG
rnacentral:rRNA from 1 species